rnacentral:rRNA from 1 species
UCUGUUUGAUCCUGGCUCAGGAUGAACGCUAGCGACAGGCCUAACACAUGCAAGUCGAGGGGCAGCGGGGAGGUAGCAAUACCUUUGCCGGCGACCGGCGCACGGGUGAGUAACACGUAUGCAAUCCACCUGUAACAGGGGGAUAACCCGGAGAAAUCCGGACUAAUACCCCAUAAUAUGGGCUCUCCGCAUGGAGGGUCCAUUAAAGAGAGCAAUUUUGGUUACAGACGAGCAUGCGCUCCAUUAGCCAGUUGGCGGGGUAACGGCCCACCAAAGCGACGAUGGAUAGGGGUUCUGAGAGGAAGGUCCCCCACAUUGGAACUGAGACACGGUCCAAACUCCUACGGGAGGCAGCAGUGAGGAAUAUUGGUCAAUGGACGAGAGUCUGAACCAGCCAAGUAGCGUGAAGGAUGACUGCCCUAUGGGUUGUAAACUUCUUUUAUAAAGGAAUAAAGUCGGGUAUGGAUACCCGUUUGCAUGUACUUUAUGAAUAAGGAUCGGCUAACUCCGUGCCAGCAGCCGCGGUAAUACGGAGGAUCCGAGCGUUAUCCGGAUUUAUUGGGUUUAAAGGGAGCGUAGAUGGAUGUUUAAGUCAGUUGUGAAAGUUUGCGGCUCAACCGUAAAAUUGCAGUUGAUACUGGAUAUCUUGAGUGCAGUUGAGGCAGGCGGAAUUCGUGGUGUAGCGGUGAAAUGCUUAGAUAUCACGAAGAACUCCGAUUGCGAAGGCAGCACACUAAGCCGUAACUGACGUUCAUGCUCGAAAGUGUGGGUAUCAAACAGGAUUAGAUACCCUGGUAGUCCACACGGUAAACGAUGAAUACUCGCUGUUUGCGAUAUACAGCAAGCGGCCAAGCGAAAGCGUUAAGUAUUCCACCUGGGGAGUACGCCGGCAACGGUGAAACUCAAAGGAAUUGACGGGGGCCCGCACAAGCGGAGGAACAUGUGGUUUAAUUCGAU